rnacentral:rRNA from 1 species
AAGUCGAACGAUGACGGNGGUGCUUGCACCGCCUGAUUAGUGGCGANNGGGUGAGUAACACGUGAGUAACCUGCCCCCCACUUCGGGAUAACCUCGGGAAAUCGUGGCUAAUACCGGAUAUGAGUACUCAUCGCAUGGGGGGAGUAGGAAAGAUUUAUCGGNGGGGGAUGGAUUCGCGGACUAUCAGCUUGUUGGUGAGGUGAUGGCUCACCAAGACGAUGACGGGUAGCCGGCCUGAGAGGGCGACCGGCCACACUGGGACUGAGACACGGACCAGACUCCUACGGGAGGCAGCAGUGGGGAAUAUUGCACAAUGGGCGAAAGCCUGAUGCAGCGACGCCGCGUGGGGGAUGACGGGCUUCGGGUUGUAAACCCCUUUCAGUAUGGAAGAAGCGAAAGUGACGGUACCUGCAGAAGAAGCGCCGGCUAACUACGUGCCAUCAGCCGCGGUAAUACGUAGGGCGCAAGCGUUGUCCGGAAUUAUUGGGCGUAAAGAGCUUGUAGGUGGCUUGUCGCGUCUGCCGUGAAAACCCGAGGCUCAACCUCGGGCGUGCGGUGGGUACGGUCAGGCUAGAGUGUGGNAGGGGAGACUGGAACUCCUGGUGUAGAGGAGAAAUGCGCAGAUAUCAGGAAGAACACCGAUGGCGAAGGNAGGUCUCUGGGCCAUUACUGACACUGAGAAGCGAAAGCAUGGNUAGCGAACAGGAUUAGAUACCCUGGUAGAUCCAUGNCGUAAACGUUGGGCACUAGGUGUGGGGGACAUUCCACGUUUUCCGCGCCGUA